AGAGUUCGAUUAUGGCUCAGAUUGAACGCUGGCGGGAUGCUUUACAUGCAAGUCGAACGGCAGCACGGACUUCGGUCUGGUGGCGAGUGGAAGGCGAACGGGUGAGUAAUGUAUCGGAACGUGCCUAUAGCGGGGGAUAACUACGAAAGCGUAGCUACGUCAGCCGCCCUUCGGGGGAGUGGGGGACCUUCGGGCCUUCGCACUAUUAGAGCGGCUGAUAUCGAUUAGCUAGUUGGUGGGGUAACGGCUCACCAAGGCGACGAUCCGUAGCUGGUUUGAGAGGACGACCAGUCACACUGGGACUGGAGAUUACGGCCCAGAUCUACGGAGGCAGCAGUGGGGGGAAUUUUGGACAAUGGGGAAACCCUGAUCCAGCCAUCCUGCGUGCGAUGAAGGCCUUCGGGUUGUAAAGCACUUUUGAGGCAGGAAAGAAACGGGCACGGGAUAAUACCUCGUGCAACUGACGGUGUCUGCAGAAUAAGCACCGGCUACUACGCCAGCAGCCGCGGUAAUACAGUGUUGUUAAUCGGAAUUACUGGCGUAAAGCGUGCAGGCGGUUCGGAAAGAAAGAUGAAAUCCUGGUGAGCUUAACUUUGGAACUGCAUUUUUGAACUACUGAGCUAGAGUGUGUCAGGGAGGGAGGCGGAAUUCCGCGUGUAGCAGUGAAUGCGUAGAUAUGCGGAGGAACACCGAUGGCGAAGCAGCCUCCUGGGCAAUACUGACGCUCAUGCACGAAAGCGUGGGGAGCAAACAGGAUUAGAUACCCAGCAGUCCACGCCCUAAACGAUGUCAACUAGCUGUUGGGGCCUUCGCGGCCUUGGUAGCGCAGCGACCAGUGUGAAGUUGACCGCCUGGGGGAGUACGUCGCAAGAUUAAACUCAAAGGAAUUGACGGGGACCUGCACAAGCGGUGGAUGAUGUGGAUUAAUUCGAUGCAACGCGAAAACCUUACCUACCCUUGACAUGUUCAGAAUCCCGAAGAGAUUUGGAGUGCUCGCAAGAGAACCGGAACACAGGUGCUGCAUGGCUGUCGUCAGCUCGUGUCGUGAGAUGUUGGGUUAAGUCCUGCAAUGAGCGCAACCCUUGGUCAUUAGUUUGCUGGCCGAAAGGGCACUCACGACUGUUGACAAACCGGAGGAAGGUGGGAUGACGUCGCGUCUCAUGGUUCUUGCGGGUAGGGCUUCACAUUACAAUGUAAUGGGACAGAGUGGUCGCCAACCCAUGAGGGGAGCCAAUCCCAGAAACCCGAUCGUAGUCCGGAUCGCAGUCUGCAACCUGACUGCGUGAAGUCGGAAUCGCUAGUAAUCGUGAUCAUGCUGUUGCGGUGAAUACGUUCUCGGUCUUGUACACCGCCCGUCACACCAUGGAGUAAGGUUUUACCAGAAGUAGUUAGCCCAACCGUAAGGAGGGCGAUUACCACGGUAGGAUUCAUGAUCAGCAGUCGCAACAAGGUA
rnacentral:rRNA from 1 species